UCCUGGCGGCGAGUGGCGAACGGGUGAGUAAUACAUCGGAACGUGCCCAAUCGUGGGGGAUAACGCAGCGAAAGCUGUGCUAAUACCGCAUAAGAUCUACGGAUGAAAGCAGGGGACUCGCAAGAGCCUUGCGCGAAUGGAGCGGCCGAUGGCAGAUUAGGUAGUUGGUGAGGUAAAGGCUCACCAAGCCUUCGAUCUGUAGCUGGUCUGAGAGGACGACCAGCCACACUGGGACUGAGACACGGCCCAGACUCCUACGGGAGGCAGCAGUGGGGAAUUUUGGACAAUGGGCGCAAGCCUGAUCCAGCCAUGCCGCGUGCAGGAUGAAGGCCUUCGGGUUGUAAACUGCUUUUGUACGGAACGAAAAGUCUCUUUCUAAUAAAGAGGGAUCAUGACGGUACCGUAAGAAUAAGCACCGGCUAACUACGUGCCAGCAGCCGCGGUAAUACGUAGGGUGCAAGCGUUAAUCGGAAUUACUGGGCGUAAAGCGUGCGCAGGCGGUUAUGUAAGACAGUUGUGAAAUCCCCGGGCUCAACCUGGGAACUGCAUCUGUGACUGCAUAGCUAGAGUACGGUAGAGGGGGAUGGAAUUCCGCGUGUAGCAGUGAAAUGCGUAGAU
rnacentral:rRNA from 1 species